UGGUGGGUAGUUUGACUGGGGCGGUCUCCUCCUAAAGAGUAACGGAGGAGCACGAAGGUUGGCUAAUCCUGGUCGGACAUCAGGAGGUUAGUGCAAUGGCAUAAGCCAGCUUGACUGCGAGCGUGACGGCGCGAGCAGGUGCGAAAGCAGGUCAUAGUGAUCCGGUGGUUCUGAAUGGAAGGGCCAUCGCUCAACGGAUAAAAGGUACUCCGGGGAUAACAGGCUGAUACCGCCCAAGAGUUCAUAUCGACGGCGGUGUUUGGCACCUCGAUGUCGGCUCAUCACAUCCUGGGGCUGAAGUAGGUCCCAAGGGUAUGGCUGUUCGCCAUUUAAAGUGGUACGCGAGCUGGGUUUAGAACGUCGUGAGACAGUUCGGUCCCUAUCUGCCGUGGGCGCUGGAGAACUGAGGGGGGCUGCUCCUAGUACGAGAGGACCGGAGUGGACGCAUCACUGGUGUUCGGGUUGUCAUGCCAAUGGCACUGCCCGGUAGCUAAAUGCGGAAGAGAUAAGUGCUGAAAGCAUCUAAGCACGAAACUUGCCCCGAGAUGAGUUCUCCCUGACCCUUUAAGGGUCCUGAAGGAACGUUGAAGACGACGACGUUGAUAGGCCGGGUGUGUAAGCGCAGCGAUGCGUUGAGCUAACCGGUACUAA
rnacentral:rRNA from 1 species